UGGGGAAUAUUGGACAAUGGGCGAAAGCCUGAUCCAGCCAUGCCGCGUGUGUGAAGAAGGCCUUUUGGUUGUAAAGCACUUUAAGUGGGGAGGAAAAGCUUAUGGUUAAUACCCAUAAGCCCUGACGUUACCCACAGAAUAAGCACCGGCUAACUCUGUGCCAGCAGCCGCGGUAAUACAGAGGGUGCAAGCGUUAAUCGGAAUUACUGGGCGUAAAGCGCGCGUAGGUGGUUAUUUAAGUCAGAUGUGAAAGCCCCGGGCUUAACCUGGGAACUGCAUCUGAUACUGGAUAACUAGAGUAGGUGAGAGGGGAGUAGAAUUCCAGGUGUAGCGGUGAAAUGCGUAGAGAUCUGGAGGAAUACCGAUGGCGAAGGCAGCUCCCUGGCAUCAUACUGACACUGAGGUGCGAAAGCGUGGGUAGCAAACAGGAUUAGAUACCCUGGUAGUCCACGCCGUAAACGAUGUCUGCCAGUCGUUGGGUCUUUUAAAGACUUAGUGACGCAGUUAACGCAAUAAGUAGACCGCCUGGGGAGUACGGCCGCAAGGUUA
rnacentral:rRNA from 1 species